rnacentral:rRNA from 1 species
UACGGAGGGUGCGAGCGUUGUUCGGAAUCAUUGGGCGUAAAGCGCGUGUAGGCGGUUUUGUAAGUCUGAAGUGAAAGCCCGGGGCUUAACCCCGGAAGUGCUUUGGAUACUGCAUCACUAGAGGACGGGAGAGGAUGGUGGAAUUCCUGGCGUAGGGGUGAAAUCCGUAGAUAUCAGGAGGAACAUCAGUGGCGAAGGCGGCCAUCUGGCCCGUAACUGACGCUGAGACGAGAAAGCGUGGGGAGCAAACAGG